rnacentral:lncRNA from 1 species
AGAUGGAGGCCGACAGGAAUGCCACCACUCCAUUCACUCAUGUUCCACCCAGCAAAUGAACUAUCACAAGCACAGGCCAGAGGAACCGAAUUCUCUAGGGGGAGACAGCAGUGAAGAAAGCAGACAAAGUCUCUGAACUCCUGUGUCUUCUAUUCAAAUGGGGAAGAUGAACAAUAAACAGAUAACACAAAUAGAAGAAUGCGUGACCUAUCCAAUCCUUUCUCUCAUAGAAACGCCAACUCAUCCAUGCCCUCUGUACUGAACCUUGGUCUCAGCCUGCUGGAAUCACCUGCACCCUAUGGGAACUUAGCCGUAUCUUCAGUCCUGUGAGCCCCCGUCAUGGCCUGUCACAGGAGUAAAUGAAGAGUAAGGGCCAGAAUACUCAGUACCUCUUAAUGACCCUCAGAUGAUGUAGGAAGAGGAUUGGUUAACCUUUUAACCCAGAAUUUCUCACAUUGAAUGGACAGGAUGCAUUCCAAGAGACCAGAGUAUUUGCAUCUCAGCUCCUGAUGGUUUCCACCACCACCAUUACUUUCCCUAUGUCAAGAUACCUGGGA